rnacentral:rRNA from 1 species
AUUGCAGGACACUUUGAGCACUGAUUAUUCGAACGCGCAUUGCGGCCUCGGGUGUCAACCCGGGGCCUCGCCUGUCUGAGGGUCG